rnacentral:rRNA from 1 species
GAUGAACGCUGACAGAAUGCUUAACACAUGCAAGUCAACUUGAACUUCGGUUUGGGUGGCGGCCGGGUGAGUAACGCGUAAAGAACUUGCCUCACAGAUAGGGACAACAUUUGGAAACGAAUGCUAAUACCUGAUAUUAUGAUUUUAGGGCAUCCUAGGAUUAUGAAAGCUAUAUGCGCUGUGAGAGAGCUUUGCGUCCCAUUAGCUAGUUGGAGAGGUAACGGCUCACCAAGGCGAUGAUGGGUAGCCGGCCUGAGAGGGUGAUCGGCCACAAGGGGACUGAGACACGGCCCUUACUCCUACGGGAGGCAGCAGUGGGGAAUAUUGGACAAUGGACCAAGAGUCUGAUCCAGCAAUUCUGUGUGCACGAUGAAGUUUUUCGGAAUGUAAAGUGCUUUCAGUUGGGAAGAAAAAAAUGACGGUACCAACAGAAGAAGUGACGGCUAAAUACGUG